rnacentral:rRNA from 1 species
AUCUAUACUGUGAAACUGCGAAUGGCUCAUUAAAUCAGUUAUCGUUUAUUUGAUAGUACCUCACUACAUGGAUAACCGUGGUAAUUCUAGAGCUAAUACAUGCUAAAAACCCCGACUUCGGGAGGGGUGUAUUUAUUAGACAAAAAACCAAUGCCCUUCGGGGCUCCUUGGUGAAUCAUGAUAACUUAACGAAUCGCAUGGCCUUGCGCCGGCGAUGGUUCAUUCAAAUUUCUGCCCUAUCAACUUUCGAUGGUAGGAUAGUGGCCUACCAUGGUAUCAACGGGUAACGGGGAAUUAGGGUUCUAUUCCGGAGAGGGAGCCUGAGAAACGGCUACCACAUCCAAGGAAGGCAGCAGGCGCGCAAAUUACCCAAUCCCGACACGGGGAGGUAGUGACAAUAAAUACUGAUACAGGGCUCUUUUGGGUCUUGUAAUUGGAAUGAGUACAAUUUAAAUACCUUAACGAGGAACAAUUGGAGGGCAAGUCUGGUGCCAGCAGCCGCGGUAAUUCCAGCUCCAAUAGCGUAUAUUAAAGUUGUUGCAGUUAAAAAGCUCGUAGUUGAACCUUGGGCCUGGCUGGCCGGUCUGCCUCACCGCAUGUACUGGUUCGGCCGGGCCUUUCCUCCUGGGGAUCCGCAUGCCCUUCACUGGGUGUGUUGGGGAACCAGGACUUUUACUUUGAAAAAAUUAGAGUGUUCAAAGCAGGCCUUUGCUCGAAUACAUUAGCAUGGAAUAAUAGAAUAGGACGUGCGGUUCUAUUUUGUUGGUUUCUAGGACCGCCGUAAUGAUUAAUAGGGAUAGUCGGGGGCAUCAGUAUUCAGUUGUCAGAGGUGAAAUUCUUGGAUUUACUGAAGACUAACUACUGCGAAAGCAUUUGCCAAGGAUGUUUUCAUUAAUCAGUGAACGAAAGUUAGGGGAUCGAAGACGAUCAGAUACCGUCGUAGUCUUAACCGUAAACUAUGCCGACUAGGGAUCGGGCGAUGUUAUUCUUUUGACUCGCUCGGCACCUUACGAGAAAUCAAAGU